rnacentral:rRNA from 1 species
UACGUAGGGCGCGAGCGUUGUCCGGAAUUAUUGGGCGUAAAGAGCUCGUAGGCGGCCGGUUGCGUCUGCUGUGAAAUCCCGGGGCUUAACCCCGGGCGUGCAGUGGAUACGGGCCGGCUGGAGGCAGGCAGGGGAGAAUGGAAUUCCUGGUGUAGCGGUGAAAUGCGCAGAUAUCAGGAGGAACACCGAUGGCGAAGGCAGGUCUCUGGGCAUUAACUGACGCUGAGGAGCGAAAGCAUGGGGAGCGAACAGG